CCGCUGUAUUAAACAAGGGGUGGGACUCCAACAAGGGGGUGCGGCCUUCUGGGAAACCUGGAGUUCAGGGCUGGGGUAGAACUGCAGGGGAUAAAGCCGAAGUCGUUGUCUAAAGGCUGCAAACAAUUGUUUUUUGACGUGGUCAAGGUAAACUGCCCUUCAGCCUCCAGGAGAUUGAUUUCAUGAGCAGAGGUUUCCAUGUGGAAGCGGGCACUCUGUAACUCAGGGAUAACAAACCAAUCUGUGGUAUUGCACUAGGGAGAGAUCAGUCACCAAAGGAAAAGCAGGGUGUGUAAUAUACAGGAGUUCACAGACAGACCUACUGUUGGAUGAAAUCCUUCCAUGUGCUGAAAUGGGCUGCUGGGGGAAGCAAAAGGCCAUGCACCAUCACAUACAUGGCCUUCCUGCAAAAAAUAGAAAGAAGGGAAACAAAUUUAUCUUGCCAUGAAUAUUCAAGACAAAAACAAAAAAAGUGUUUUCUCACCUCAUCCUGCAAAGAACCUCACAUUUCCAUUUUAAUUGGGGAACUUGUAUUCAUCACUGAUGAUCCAUCUCAAUAUCUGCCUUCAAAUAUUCAGCAAAUUGCAAAUCAGUCCAAGACACCUAGAGGCAUAAAAAAUACCUGGAAAGACCUAAGCCAAGCCACACACUGUGCAGAUUGAAGUUUCCUGGAUUUCUGUCAAAAGAAUCGGUCUUUUAAGAAUAGAAAAGACCAAUGUCAUCUUUAUACAGUUUGAGAAUUCAUCUUGAGUAGUCCAGAGAUUAACAAUAUCAGUGAUAAUUGAGUCAACGGCGUCUAUGGAGUACACUAACAACAAAAUAGACCAAGGAACAAAAGGCAGAUGUUAGCUUUCCUCCUAUCCUACUUACCUCACAUGAUUCAGACAUAUGGAAUUACAGAAGCUUGAGACAGUGUGGAAGCAGUCUUCUCAUUAUUGGCGGAUAUGUAUGCUGGUUGAAUGAAUGAGAGGAGACAGCAUCUUCUAGAGCUUGUAGUGGCAUAAGUAAACUGCACUACUGUGCAUAUAUUGAAAGUCACAAGCCUUAUUUUAAUUAUAUCUCUUUGUCAGAUCUGACUCAUUCCUGCACUUCUCCUCACCUCAGAAUUUAAGCUCAGAAAAACUAAAUUUUAUUUGAGUAACAGCUAGAGCAAGAUUUUAAAUAUAAAAAAUAAUAUCCUCAAGAGAGUUAGAGAAAACAAAACAAACUCUUUUCUAUUCAGUUCUCUCUGACUUUUAUGUGGGUACAGUCAGUUUGAUAACUGAGAGUCUAGGAGUCCUGCUGAGUUCCCCCUGCAUCCCUAGGAUUAUUUUUUUUCCCCAUCUUUUCUGAGGUGUAGGUGUUUCCCAGUCUUUCCUUCAGUCUUUUGAUCUCUCUAAAAAGCAAGCUAAGCAGAUCCAUACUGACUCUGUUGCACUCCUUUGGCCUUCCCAUCCUAUACUCUUUCCCUGAGUGUUCGGCAGCUCUUCAUAAGAACCUCCCUCAAGAAGUCCACCAAGACUCUUCAAAGAAAAUAAAGCCAACAUACAACAAACCUGUCAAAUGCAGCUCUUGCAACAGUCACAUCAACAAUUGAAACUUGUAGUAGGGCCAGUUUUGUGAGACUAGUACAUGAGA